CAGUAGCCGCGGGAAUACGAAGGGUGCAAGCGUUAAUCGGAAUUACUGGGCGUAAAGCGCACGCAGGCGGUUUGUUAAGUCAGAUGUGAAAUCCCCGAGCUUAACUUGGGAACUGCAUUUGAAACUGGCAAGCUAGAGUCUUGUAGAGGGGGGUAGAAUUCCAGGUGUAGCGGUGAAAUGCGUAGAGAUCUGGAGGAAUACCGGUGGCGAGGGCGGCCCCCUGGACAAAGACUGACGCUCAGGUGCGAAAGCGUGGGGAGCAAACAGGAUUAGAUACCCCAGUAGUCCCUGUCUCUUAUAC
rnacentral:rRNA from 1 species